AUUUUAGUCUUAUUAGAGGAACCUGUUUAUUAAUUGAUAAUCCACGAUUAAUUUUACUUAUUUAAUUUAAUUCAUAUAUCGCUGUCAUGAAUAUAUUAAAAAAUUUAUUUUCUUUAUUUAUUUUUAUAAUUUAUGUUAAGUCAAGAUGUGGUUUAUAGAUAAGUAUAUAAUGGGUUACAUUAAAUUUUAUUUUUGGAUUUUAAAUGAAAAUUAAAAUGAAAUUGGAUUUAAUAGUAAAUUUAUUUAUUUAAUUAAUAUGAAGAAAGAUCUAAAAUAUGUACAUAUUGCCCGUCAUUCUUAUUAAAAAUAAGACAAGUCGUAACAAAGUAAAUGUACUGGAAAGUGUAUUUAGAAAGAUUUUAUUUUGAUAUAAAUAAAUAUCUAAA
rnacentral:rRNA from 1 species